GAACGCUGGCGGCAGGCCUAACACAUGCAAGUCGAGCGGUAACAUUUCUAGCUUGCUAGAAGAUGACGAGCGGCGGACGGGUGAGUAACGCGUAGAAAUCUACCUAGUAGUGGGGGAUAGCCCAGAGAAAUUUGGAUUAAUACCGCAUACGCCCUACGGGGGAAAGCGGGGGAUCUUCGGACCUCGUGCUAUUAGAUGAGUCCGCGUCGGAUUAGCUUGUUGGUGAGGUAAUGGCUCACCAAGGCGACGAUCCGUAGCUGGUCUGAGAGGAUGACCAGCCACACUGGAACUGAGACACGGUCCAGACUCCUACGGGAGGCAGCAGUGGGGAAUAUUGCACAAUGGGCGCAAGCCUGAUGCAGCCAUGCCGCGUGUGUGAAGAAGGCCUUAGGGUUGUAAAGCACUUUCAGCAGUGAGGAAAGGGGUGUCGUUAAUAGCGCCAUCCUGUGACGUUAACUGCAGAAGAAGGACCGGCUAACUCCGUG
rnacentral:rRNA from 1 species